UACAGAGGUCCCAAGCGUUGUUCGGAUUCACUGGGCGUAAAGGGUGCGUAGGUGGCGGGGUAAGUCAGGUGUGAAAUCUCGAGGCUCAACCUCGAAACUGCACUUGAUACUGCCUUGCUCGAGUACUGGAGAGGAGAUUGGAAUUUACGGUGUAGCAGUGAAAUGCGUAGAUAUCGUAAGGAAGACCAGUGGCGAAGGCGAAUCUCUGGACAGUUACUGACACUGAGGCACGAAGGCCAGGGGAGCAAACGGG
rnacentral:rRNA from 1 species